rnacentral:rRNA from 1 species
GUGCCAGCCGCCGCGGUCAUACCGGCAGCCCGAGUGAUGGCCGAUCUUAUUGGGCCUAAAGCGUCCGUAGCUGGCUGCGCAAGUCCGUUGGGAAAUCUGCGCGCUUAACGCGCAGGCGGCCAGCGGAAACUGUCCGGCUUGGGGCCGGAAGACUCGAGGGGUACGUCCGGGGUAGGAGUGAAAUCCCAUAAUCCUGGACGGACCGCCGGUGGCGAAAGCGCCUCGAGAGGACGGACCCGACGGUGAGGAACGAAAGCCAGGGUCUCGAACCGGAUUAGAAACCCUAGUAGUCC